AAGGAAGCUGCUACAUUGGAGAUGCCUGUGUGACCAGGAACUGUCCCAGUUCCUGUAGGACCCUCAGUCCUACAAUCUGCGAGAAAUCGAAUUCUGCCAGCAAGCAAGUGAGAGAGUUUAAGUCAUGUCCUGUUCCAGCCAAGCCUAUCAGGAUGAUACUGCAGCCCCAGACCUUAAUGGUAGACUCUGAGAGACCCUAAAACAGGGGAGCCAGGUAAACCUCGAUGGCUGACCUACAGAAAUCAUGAGAUACCCGUGCUGUUGUUUCAAGCAUCUCUGCUUUGAGUUCCUGCUGCCUAUUGGCUGGAGUCUCAGAGGGCGCUAUCAGCUGGAACACUGAACAUUGGCCUCCCCACGUGGCUGGGGCUUCCUUACAACAUGGCGGCAAGUUCCAACAGUGAGCGUGCCGAGACAGAGCCAGGUGAAAGCUUUAUCGCCUUUUGUAACCUAGCCUUAGGGCUCAUACAGAGUCCCUUCCAUCACCCUGCCUCUAUUCACUGAGGCAGUCACAAAGGCUGUCCAUAUUCAAGGGGUAGGGGACUGGAUUCCACCAUUUGUAGGGAGCAGUGUCAAAGAAUUUGAGGACAUGUUUCAAAACAUGCAGCCCCUGCUCUGUGGACACUGAUUAUCCUUAUUCUGGUCCCAUGUAUACUCUGUGGGCUACUCCUUUUUACUGGGGGAUGGGAGGUUGGGAUUUUUCAGUCCUGAGUCAAACCUCCCUUCCUGGGGCCAGGGUGAAUAUAUGGGGAGAAGGCUGAGACUGUGAACUC
rnacentral:lncRNA from 1 species